rnacentral:lncRNA from 1 species
CUCGGCUGUUUGGUUUGGAAGAAAAAGCACCUUCCUCCUCUGGAACAAGAAAGUCAUGUUGCCACUACCCAUUUCAAAGAAGGAAGGGGAAAAGUUCAGUGCCCCAGGAAAAUGGACAGAAGUCUCAUGGAGCCAUGAGCCUGCACUAAGCCAAGCUGUCUUCUUCCUCUUCACAUGGCUGAAGCUAGUGAGACGGGAGCUGUGCAAAAGUCUGGAUCACAGAAGAUUAAUGUUCAUCUCAGCAACAUACUGGAGAGGACAGACUGGAGUACUAUCAGAAAGUGGAAGGUUGAUGGACAGGACGCACAUAUUCCUGAUGGCCACAAUGGUAUUAUAGUGGGGAGGUAGUUACAUUCACUGGGAGCAAGUGUAUUGUUUUCUGCCCAGUGCAGAGUCUUCCUUGACUUCAUUGUAUAUAUAGUGUCAUAUAGUUAGUUGUAUGUUUCCUUUAUUCCAUAUUUAGGAUGGACUUUUUUUGUGAGACAGGAAAAGAAAUUGUAACGAUGGCUGGUUUGUUAAUUAUUUCUCAUCUGAUUCUUUUCCUGAUGUAGUCAAUAUAGUGGUCCAAGAUGGUUUUGAGACUUCAAGCCCAAUGUGUUCCCUUGUCUUUUUCCUGAAGUUGCCAAUAGGAGGAAUGGUAUAAGAGCUAACUUCUGGUUAUGGAAGAAGGAUGAAGGACAGGGUGGGCAAAAUAGUUCUCCUAAUUCCUCAUAUACAAACAUGCCAUCUGGUUUUUCCCCUAGAGAGACAUUUGGGCUUUUACAGCAGACUGUUCACCUUAGGUUAGCAGAGUGUUCAAUGACUGAAAAUGUUUGAUUGGUUCCUUAUAUGCUAGAGGCUGGGGUAGCUAUUGUUAUGUUAGUUGGCUAGGGGGUUCAAUGCCUG